rnacentral:lncRNA from 1 species
CCAAAUGUCACGUGUUCUCACAUAUAAGUGAGAGCUAAAUGAUUUCCCUGGAACCCAUUCCUUAUACCAUGGAAGAAGCUCAUUCUAGUCCACAGAGAGAGACAUGAAGAGGCUCACAUAGAAAGGAAUGGAGAUCUCCAGCCAAGGGUCAAUAUAAAUUUCCAGAUAAGUGAAUGAAUGAGCCUUCAGAUGAUUCCAGUCCCCACCCUUUGGGUCUUUCAGAUGAGGCCUGAGACAUUAUGAUGCAAAGACAGUCUUCUCUUCUAUGUUCUGUCCAAAUCCCUUACCCAGAGAGUCGAAAAAGUGAUUCCCUGCAAUUUAAUGCAACUCUCCUUGGAAAAGAACAAGAAUAUACUCACUUCCAGAAAUGCUGAAAACGCUAAGUUCCAGUGCAUCUAGCACCAGGUAUAAGAUAUCUGUGUGAUGCCCAUUCCUACACUACCUCUUGAAAAUCCCAUCUUGAUACUCUGUAAUCUAUCAUAAAAUUUAAAGCAAAUUUUCAAAACUAACCUUAUGUUAA